GUCCCCGUUGUUCUAGUGAGACCAUGGACUUUCGCCUGGGAAGGUUUCCAGGGCGCAGGCCUGGGCAGGGUUGUAUGGAAGACCGGCAGUUGCCCAAGCUGCAAGUCUCCCCUCUCCACGCCACCGAUGUUGUCCAAGUGAAGGGCACUAUGACCCAUGCAGCUUGGCCCCUUUGACAUCGCACAGCAAUGUGUGGUUAAGUCCCUUGCUCAAGGACACAACAGACUGCCUCAGCUCGAACCAGUGACCUUCAGAAUUUCUCCGGGUGUCAGUAAUCGAACGGUGCUCGAGGAGCUACACUGUGUCUGAUCACUGGUGUGGGCGAUUGGACACUGUCACAGUAGCUUAACUCUGUGUCUCCCUGUGGGAAUGUGUGAUGGGACGGUGUGGAGUGAGCUUCUCUCUGUGUCUGCCCGCAAGAGCGCGUGGUUUGACAAUGGGCAGCGUGCAGUCUGAACCCAUGUGUGUGUAAUGCGACUGUGGAGAGAGUGAGUGAGAGAGAGAGAGAGAGAGAGAGAGAGAGAGAGAGAGAGAGAGACACUCUGUUUCUGAUCCCGCGAGUAUGAGAUGGGGGGACGAUGCGGAGGGAGGUUCUCUCUAUGUCUGGCCGGAGGUGUGCGUGAUGGGACGGUGUGAAAGGAGCGACACCUGCUGUCUGAAUCCGGGAUUGGACGUUGUUAAGGGAGUUUGAAUUUUCUGAUCCCAUUCGGUGCAAUGGGUGUUAUGGAGGGUGAAUCACUGUUUUUUGUUCCUGAUUUGUAGAGCAUACGUGUCCUCAGAACUGGAUCGAUAACGAAAAUCGGUGUUAUUUCAUAUCUUCCUUGGAGAAAACUUAUGAUGGAGCGAGGGAACAUUGUUCAAACUUGGAUGCAAGGCUCCUCGAAAUAAAUUCAAAAGAGGAAGAGGAAUUUGUUUCCACCUCUGUCGGCGAUGAAUACAGAACUUACUGGAUUGGAAAAUGCAGAGACGGGAAUGUGGGCUCUAAUCUUCUGUACAAGUCCUAUAGCCGGCCCAGCUGCAGAAAAUGCGACGGAUCCUGG